ACAUGCAUAGCUCUUAGCUUCUGUGUAAGAAGUUGUGAGCUCCUUCUGGAAACAUUUGCAGUUACAUUAAGUAAAGUGUAAAUGCACAUGAAUGGCAGCUUAUAGAGAACCACCUUGUAACCAGUAUACAGGUACAACUACAGCUCUUCAGAAAUUGGAAGGUUUUGCUAGCCGGUUAUUUCAUAGACACUCUAAAGGUACUGCACAUGAUCAGAAAACAGCUCUGGAAAAUGACAGCCUUCAUUUCUCUGAACAUACUGCCUUAUGGGACAGAUCAAUGAAAGAGUUUCUAGCCAAAGCCAAAGAAGACUUUUUGAAAAAAUGGGAGAAUCCAACUCAGAAUAAUGCCGGACUUGAAGAUUUUGAAAGGAAAAAAACCCUUGGAACAGGUUCAUUUGGAAGAGUCAUGUUGGUAAAACACAAAGCCACUGAACAGUAUUAUGCCAUGAAGAUCUUAGAUAAGCAGAAGGUUGUUAAACUGAAGCAAAUAGAGCAUACUUUGAAUGAGAAAAGAAUAUUACAGGCAGUGAAUUUUCCUUUCCUUGUUCGACUGGAGUAUGCUUUUAAGGAUAAUUCUAAUUUAUACAUGGUUAUGGAAUAUGUCCCUGGGGGUGAAAUGUUUUCACAUCUAAGAAGAAUUGGAAGGUUCAGUGAGCCCCAUGCACGGUUCUAUGCAGCUCAGAUAGUGCUAACAUUCGAGUACCUCCAUUCACUAGACCUCAUCUACAGAGAUCUAAAACCUGAAAAUCUCUUAAUUGACCAUCAAGGCUAUAUCCAGGUCACAGACUUUGGGUUUGCCAAAAGAGUUAAAGGCAGAACUUGGACAUUAUGUGGAACUCCAGAGUAUUUGGCUCCAGAAAUAAUUCUCAGCAAGGGCUACAAUAAGGCAGUGGAUUGGUGGGCAUUAGGAGUGCUAAUCUAUGAAAUGGCAGCUGGCUAUCCCCCAUUCUUUGCAGACCAACCAAUUCAGAUUUAUGAAAAGAUUGUUUCUGGAAAGCAGAACUUUUGAUAUGAACAAAACAAAACUUUGAGAAAAAUUAACAGACAAGGCAGUGAUUUAUUUUUGAAGAAUUUGAGAAGUGUAGACUCUCAAGAGGACUAAAGGUCAUAUGAAGAAUGAUGAGAGAACCAAAAUACAUUAAAAUCACAAAUGGAAGAAGAAUAUUUUACUAAUACAAAAACUAAGAAUGAGUCCCCAAGACUGUCUCCAGGUUUGAUGAUUCACCAGGAGGACUCAACAAGAUUCAGCAUACAGUGGUACUUGAGGCUAAGAUUUAUUACAACAAAAGGGUACAAAGUGAAGAUAGCAAAAGUCCAGAAGACACCAGGCACAAGCUUUCAAGAGUCCUCUCCCAGGGCAUUCACAAGGGAUGCACAUAAUUCCUUCAGCAACAAGCUGUGACAAGCGUGAAAUUUUAUCUACCAGCAACACUCAUUAAAUACUCAAUGCCCAAAGUUUUCAUUGGGGGUUGGUCACAUAUGCACCCUCUGCCUAGCACAUGCCAAAAUCCCAGCCUCCCAGAACAAAAGUAGUUGUUCAGAAUAAACUAUGUUGUUUGUACCAACAGUGUAGGCACAGUGAGCCACUCUAAUCCUUUAGGGAAAGUUUCAUGUUGGUAUAAGGGCACUGGUACUAUUCAAGUUGCCAGACAUCUCUCAAGGGCCAAACUUGUAAGCAGUUCUUUCUAAGGGUAGCAGUCUCAGGCCUACUAUGUUAAGUCUUUUCUACACACAUUCGGUUUCCUAAAUAACAUACACAUAUGCAGAUAUUCCACUAUACUUUUUCUAAGAUACUAUUGUUAAUGCUUUUGGGGAAAUUACAAUGUCAUUUACUAUUUUGCUAUGGCCAUAGUUAAAGAGACUUAGAAGUAUUCAGAAAUCAUUUUCAUAAAACACAAAAGCAGUUUUACUCUUUUCAUAAAACCCAGGGCCAGUUUUAAACACUUCACUGUGGCUAUUUAAAAUUCUUAUUAAUACCUUCUUUCUGACAGCUCUUGUGGUCCUAUGAGCAAAUAAUUGCAAAACUGGCUUCUUAUGUGAGAGCAGGGGGAGGGAGAAUGGGGUGGAUCAUAAUCCUCUGCAACCUUGUAGACUCAUUAUAUCUACCACUGUUUCUGCAUAGGUAAGGGAACAGAUUAGAGAGCCCACAGAUGCAGUACCAAUAUUUAUAAAUAUUUUUAAUGUCUUAGCUCUUUCUUUUCACAUAUAGAAUCCAGGCUGAUUAAAGAUGCCCAGGUCUUAUGAGGUAGUGUGGAACUCGGCACCAUAUCUAUAACAUGCCUAGCGUAUGAAAAGUUAUUAUGCCUGUUGAAAAAUUGUCUAAUGUGUAUGUUCAUUUUUGAUCAAUCAAUUCUUUACUGGGAUUGCAGAUAUUUUGAGAACUUACUGUACCUAAUUUAUAAAUAAUUUGUUAAAAUUUAUCUCAACAUGCUCGUAGCCAGUAGUUAGUAGAUUAUUGCUUCUUGGCUGUAUAUAAACCCUUUUGAGUCAUGUAAGCCUAAUAAUUUUAUCCUGAUUCAUAAAAGAUAAUGUUACUAGUUAAAUGAUCAUUUCUCCUGCCAAUAAUUGCAGAAUAGCAGUAAGAUUUUUCCCUCCUUUCGAAUAUCAACUUUGUAAUUUCUGUGAUUAAGCUUAGUGUAAACAAAUUUGAUUUGGCUUUAUUUUAUUUCAUUUUCUUCUUAUUCAUUUUUAUUUUUUACUUUUUUGAGAUGGAAUCUUGCUCUGUUGACCAGGCUGAAGUGCAGUGGCACAAUCUUGGCCCGCUGCAGCCUCUGCCUCCUGGGUUCAAGUGAUUCUCCUGCCUCAGCCUCCUGAGUAGCUGGGACUACAGGCAUGUGCCACCACGCCCGGCUAAUUUUUGUGUUUUUAGUAGGGACAGGGUUUCACCAUGUUGGCCAGGCUGGUUUUGAAAUCCUGACCUCAAGUGAUCCACCUGUCUUGGCGUCUCAAAUUACUGGGAGUAGUAAUUUGAAGUCAGUAAACUAGAUAGUGAGUUUAAAUCACUCAGUAUGGAUACCAUGAACAACAUGAAUGGAUUUACUUUUUGGUUGUAACUUCAUCUUGAACUUUUAGAAGAUAAUAGUUAUUUCUAAAACUCAAAUGUACAAGACUUUAUAAUCAGUGCUGAAAGCAGAAAAAAUAUUCUGUUGAGUUUGCUCAAUUCAGAGUGAAUUUUAUAGUUCGUUUAACAUAUUACAUAAUGUAAUUUGACAGUAGUUUAGGAUAUCAGCCAUAUUGACAAUGGUGUCUUUAUAAAACAAAUUUAUAGUAAGACAUUUUCUCCCUCACUUUAUCAAACUUAGGACCUUAAGAAAAGAUGAAAGUGUUUAUUCUAUAAAUUAACAGGUGGAGCCUGAGACAAGAUGAAAGGAGGAACUUCCUAUACUUUCCCAAUGACUUUUCUAGCACAGACUGUCCUUGGCGCAUCUGUAAAAAUAAUGAUAGAUAUGGCUGUCUUCUACGUUCUUUCUUUAAUUCAAAAAUUCAGUUUCAGAUCAUUAAAAUAGUAUUCUAAUGGGAAGGCUUAAAAAAUAAAAACUGUGUUGAAUUAAUGUCUACAGAAUACUAGGCAUAAUACAAGGCAGUUUCAUGUUAAGUCACAUAAUUUCUUUUCAUACCUGCCAGAUGAGAUAUACUCUCAUUGUUUUAUAAAUGAGGAAACUGAGACUCAGAAAAGUUUUCCCUAGAUUGCAGAGCAUGUAUGUAAGUAGAGUUGGGAUUGGAACCCAGGAAUUCUUUCUACUAAAGAAAUAGCUUGGUAGAAUUUUUUAGGUGGCAAGGAUGUUCACUUUUAUUUCAUUUAACUCUCUAGUCCUAUAUGUAGGUAAAUCAAAACUCAGAAUUACCCAAAGACAAAAGGUAGUUUGUGGCAAAGCAGGAAAUAGAAGAAUCUAGUUCAGUGAUUCAUUUGUUAUUCCUUCACUUGGCUUCAGUGACUUUGUAUCACUAAUCAUUCCCUCUCAAUCUCCUUGGCUUGAUCCCCUUCUCUUCUUUCUAUGCACUUCCUCAAUGGGUGGUUUCAUCCAGUCUCAUGACUCAGGACAAUUCCCAAACUCAUUUUUCCAGUCCAUACCUGAUUCCCAAAUUCCAUACUCUUGUAUCUAGUUUCUAACUUGAAAUCUUCACUUGGAUAUCUGAUACCUCAAAUUCAACCUGUCUAAAACUGACAAGUUUUUGUCCUCUUUCCUACACUCCACCCACCCCCCUCCACGAAGCCUUCCCCAUCUAAACUGAUGGCAACUCCACCCUUUCAGUUGGUCAGGCCAAGACACCUUCGAGUCCUCACUUCAUAUCUAAUGCACAGGGAAACCAUUUUUGCUUUGUCUUUAGAAUUUACAGAAUUCAGCCACUUCUUACCACAUCCACUGCUGUCACUCUUAAGUGAGUCACUAGAGUGGUUCCUUAAAAAUGUUAAAUAAUAUCCUAUUAUUCUUUUCAAAACCUUGCAAGGAUUCCCCGUUUUCUUCAGAGUAAAAGUCGAAGACCUUACUAUGCAAAGUUUCAUGAAAAAGAUAGGAUAACAUUGUUAAAGGAUCACUCGGUUGCUAAGUUUUAAUUGUCUUCCUCACUAGAAUGUAAACUCCAUGAAGGCAGAAAUCUUCAUCUUAUUUUGUUUACUUAUAUAAUCCAAGCACAAAUUCCUGAGAUAUAUUAGUAAGCACAUAGUACUUGCUUAAUUCAAGCAUAACACAUAGUAGAGGUUCAAUCAAUAUUUGUUGAAUUUCAAUUCAUGCAUUCAUUAAAUAUUUAUGAAGCUCCUAGUAUGUGCCAGACCAGUUCUACAUGCUGGAUACAGCAAGUCAGUUGUGGUCUCUGCCUUCAUGAAGCUUUCAUGAAGUGUACUCUAUCUUUGGUAUCUCUCCAGAGACAUACUGACUCAAGAGGCCUUCUGUGGAUUCAAAACUUUUUUUAAGUAUCACAAGUGAUUCUGAUAAACACCAUGUGUUGAGAGCUUGUUUUGUGUAUCUGUACCUCACUGGGGAAUUAGAUUUAUUCUCAAGAAAAUAUAAUUAGAAAAAUCAGAAGUAAUAUGGUCUCUAAUGGUUGGAAAACAAUCCUAAACAAUAAAUAAUAUUGAAGAAAAAAUAUUAAAGAAAACACGUUGGGAAGUGUAUAUAUCACAAACACCUCUUUUAUGUUGUACAAACACCUCUUCCAUGUUAAAUGAUGCCAGUUUCCCAUAACCUUAUCUCUCAGACCUAAUGGCUUAAUGAUUUUAGACUUUCUCUUUUCAAUAUCUGACUCUUUACAUUUACUUUCACAUUAUUUGCCUAUCUUGGACUGGCAGAAAGCUCAUAGGUAUAUGUCAGGAAGAUUAGGUUAUUUUCCCAAUAAUUCUACUAACGGAGUUGGUAGCCUCACAGGAGCUCAGAUUCCUUAUCUUUAAAAUGAGAGUUUAGACUCAAUUAAACUAAGCUCCCUCUAGCUCCAAUAUUAGAAGAUUCUCAUUUCACUUUCUAUAGUAGUUAUAAUUGAUAAUGAUAAAAGUAAUACCCUUUUGAUAUAGUUUUAAAGGAAAAAUUAGAUAGUCGCUCUUCCCAUCAUAGAAAUCUUUAGUGUCUCCAGGUUGAUGUAUUACAAAUAAAGGUUGUACACUUAAAACAA